rnacentral:rRNA from 1 species
CAGCAGCCGCGGUAAUACGUAGGUGGCAGGCGUUGUCCGGAUUUAUUGGGCGUAAAGCGAGCGCAGGCGGUCAAUUAAGUCUGAUGUGAAAGCCCCCGGCUCAACCGGGGAGGGUCAUUGGAAACUGGUUGACUUGAGUGCAGAAGAGGAGAGUGGAAUUCCAUGUGUAGCGGUGAAAUGCGUAGAUAUAUGGAGGAACACCGGUGGCGAAGGCGACUCUCUGGCCUGUAACUGACGCUGAGGCUCGAAAGCGUGGGUAGCAAACAGGAUUAGAGACCCCUGUAGUCCCUGUCUCUUAUAC